rnacentral:rRNA from 1 species
AACGUAGGUUCCGAGCGUUAUCCGGAUUUACUGGGCGUAAAGCGCGUCCAGGCGGUUUGGCAAGUCGGGCAUGAAAUCUCUCGGCUCAACCGGGAGAGGUUGUCCGAUACUGCUGGACUUGAGGGCAGUAGAGGGUGGUGGAAUUCCGGGUGUAGUGGUGAAAUGCGUAGAUAUCCGGAGGAACACCAGUGGCGAAAGCGGCCACCUGGACUGUACCUGACGCUGACACGCGAAAGCUAGGGGAGCGAACGGG